UAGAUGAAAAUAUUCUUGAAGAGGAAAUGCAUUUCUAAAGUGUUGUCAAUGUCAAAGCAAGGAUGGAGGUAAAAAUUAUCUCUGAAUUUAGUAUUUCUAUUCAGAAAAUUCCCCAGAGGGAAAGAAACUUGCAGAGAGCACUGAUAAUGCAUAAAUACCUAUGCUGAUUCAAAGAAUGAUCUUGGAGAUCGGAUGCAUAUUAUGGUUUGUGGAAGGUCAUAUUUGCUUUAAGUUACUUUAUUUCUCCUUGUACUGAUAAAUUCCUGCAUGGGUGUGAAGGAACUGAAACUCUGUUUCCCUGUGAGCUUCCCUUUCCAGUCUUGGUUUAGAUCAAUAAUCAGUGCAUGAACAGGGGUUUUGAUCAUUCUCUGUCCUAAUGGAACUUGUUUCCACAAGGCACGCUCUUCUGCUUCCUUCAUCCAUAUGCUGAAGAUCUACACAGAUAUUGUACAUACAGGAAUACACAGGGAGAUUAAUCUGUUAAUUGUGCCCAUGUUCUUAAGCACAUAGCAUUGUUUUGCUCUACAAAUUGUGUAUUCUUUAGCGUUUUAUAAAAUUGAUCAAAGUAGAUAAUCAAAUUACCAAAAAAUUUUUGGCCGCUACCAAAAAAAAGCCUAUGAAUACAUCAAAGAGUAGUAGAAUGCAUCAGGAUACAUAUCUGUGAAUAAAAUGUUCUGAAAAGGCUCAGAGUAUUUCUUGUGGAGGGACAGUAAAAUGCUUACAUGGUGAGAACUGAAAAUCAAGGUUCAGUAUGCUGGAGAGCAUUCAGAGAAACUGAGGGAAGUUUUCAAUGCUGAAAAAGGGCUGGAGAAGGAGAUCAAAUCAGUGGUAAGUGGAAAGCUGGUGAGUAGAUAGGAUUAAUCAAAUUGCCAGUAAAUUUCAGUAACUCACAAUAGAUUUCUACUGAGGUAGAAAGUAAUAUCAAACUCAGAUGGAAUGAUGAAUAAAAAUGCAGUGUGAACAUAACAUAUGGAAAUUGUAAAGGGGAUUGUUAUAUCAGAAUGAAGUACAUUGUCAAAUGUACCUGUUGAUACUGGUUUUUACUUACAGUGACCAAAAAAAGAAUAUUUUGGUAGGUUAUCUGCUUACAGGUUUUUCAUAUCAUGUAGCAGCUCUGGGGAACAGUAGCAUCAAGGACAGGUAGGAAGUCCCUGUGGCUCUACCAAAUUGGAAUUUUCCCUUCAGCUGUUAAAUAUUUUAUUCUAAUAUUUGAUUCUGAGUUUAAUACUCAGAAUGUCUCUUGGGACAUAAUUUCAUUUUCUGUCUUUAUAUACUCUCCCCAAAAUGUGGGAAUAUUUGUACUGUGAGAGAAACAAACAUGAAAGAACAAGGUUGAAUACUGAAGGCAUCUGUUGCUCUCAGUAGGAAUAGAAUCCCGAGGGAAUGGAUGAUCUAGCUGAGCUAAUACAAAUUGUGAACUAUGACACAUUCAUUAAAAAGAAACCUCAGAUAGGAUUCUAACUUCAGAUGCUCUGGGAAAAAAGUCCUGGACCUGCAAUAUUAAGCUAAUUAUGGAAUGAAUAUUUAUUUAUCUCUUUCGAUCAGCUGUUUCUUUUAACAUUGUGUUCUGAGACUUGGCUUAGGAGUCUGUGUCCAUUGUGUCUCCAGUUGCCAUCUUCUGGCUACUCCUUACUUUUAUCACAGGCUGAAAUGUAAUUUCACAAAGCUUACACAUCAGCAUUCUUGCUUAGUUUUCAAAUUCUCCUCAAUUUUGGAAAUACGCAUAAGAUUUGUUAAACUUAAUGCUGAAAUAAAAUCGUAUUUACUGCAGGUUAGAAAAAUGAAUUUCAAGUAGGAAUACUUUGAAUAACAUAAGUGUCCUUCCUUCUCCACAGGCUGGACUGAAUAAGAUAAAACACAAUAAGAAUUGAGAUAAGUGUUUCUUUCAAAGCAGUCUUCUUUUUCUUUAUUGUUGGAUGCAUUUCUUACUCUUCUUUGCACCCAGUUUUUAAAUGCUACUAGUUUAGGUUGAAAUGAGCACUUCUGUGUCUUUAUGAUUCUCUCCUAAGACUUGAAAUUUCAUUUCUGGAUUGGUCACAGUUUGUAAUUCCUGCUGAGUUUUUUUUUUUUUUGUUUGGCUCUCCCCACCUCCAGCUUUGAUAUCUGGAAAGGUAAAUUAAAACCGCUCAGUAAUUUUUGCAUAUCUACUUUUAUAAAAUUUCAAUAAAUUAUAUUUUCCCUGAACUUCAAAUCUGUUCUUUUGAAGCUGGCAUGAUUACUUACAUAACAUGCUUGGGAAGUAAUUCUGGGGUCAGUCCUGAUAUACUGUCAAUUAUAAUACUCUGCUCCAGUAGCUUGUGACCAUACUGUCAUUAAUGGGAAACACUAUCUUUUCUCCUACAGAGUCUUUUGUUCUCUUAAUGUGCAAUUUUAUCUAAGUUCAAACCCCCUUGAAAAGGGUGGGAGGAGGAAGAAAAGCUGAUGUAGUUGUCUCAUAUAGCAAAAUACAGGCCUAUGCCAUCGAUAAAGGACUCUUUGUUUGCUGCAAGUCUAGGUGCUUUCAGUUCUAGCCACAGACUUCAAAUCAAAAUGUGAAUGAGAAGUGCAGGGAAGGGUGGUUUCCUCCUGUCUCCCUUUCAGUACAGGUCUUAGGGCUGAGCUUGGAAGCAGUGAUGUGAAGGGUUGGCAGAGGGAGAGGUAGGAGUGCUUUACCUAAAUUCAGCAGCAAGGAUGGCAUUAAUAGCAAAUUGGUUUGAACAAGCUACACAAAUUGUUUGGAUUAAGAGGUCCAAGUCAUCUUAGUCACACAUGAGAGUGGAUAUCCCAGAAAGACCUUUUCAGCUCUGUGUUUCCAAUUUAACUUUUCUGGAUUCAAAUGUCAUAAUUUCUAUCUAUGCAUCACGGUCCUUCAGUUUCUACUUGUGUGUACAAAUGGUUGUGAAGCUGAUGGUCUAAUAAUUGUUGGGAUCUUGGAGGAAAUAUUCUUUCUCUCUAGUUACAGCAUAAGCAGGAGAGUUUUUUUUGUUGUUGCUCUUAGGUUGGGGGUUUUGUUUGUUUUAUUUCCCAAGAAGCUUCUGCAUGAGACAUCAGCAAGUGUUUUGGUUCUGUGUCUCAGAGCCCGUGGCCAUGCCAGCAGUGGUUUGUGGCUGUGAAUCAAGAUUACAACUGCAAACAAACAGGACUUCAGACCUUCAUAAGCUCAGUUUGAGCCAAUGGUCUUUUUUACAGCUAAUAGCACAAUAAAGACUAAUAGUUUACAAUCAGAAGUGGAAUUGCGUUGUGAUGGCAGUUGAAACCCUUGCCAGAGAAAAUGGUUCUCAUUUUCUUUUAUUUCUGAAACUCCGCUAAGUUGUUGUUCCAGUCCUGCUUUUCUCAUUGACACUUUGUCCUCAAAUUUAGAAACUUUAGGCAUCAUGUUUCCUGGUUAAUAGGAUUUCACUGCAGUCUAAUGUUACUGUGUGUUCUGCAAGUAAAGAAGAAGAAGAAAAAAUCCAAACCACAACCCCCCACAAAAAACUUGUCUAGUGUUUUUUAUUCUAUAACCCACUUCUUUACAUAGCUCUACUAAAACAACUUUUUUUUUUAUUUUUAUAUCACUCAAUUAAACUCUACCAUUAAACUAGCACACUGAGUUAUCAAAAAGAAAAAAGAAAAAAGAGGAAGAUAAUUUUUGUUCUCUUCAAAAUGAUGGGGAAGCCAAUUCUUUUAAUGCAUCUUGUUAUUACAAUUUUAAAAUACGGGAAACUAUUUAAACCCCCAAAUAGAAGGAACUACCUGUCUAUUGUAUGUGUUAAUGCAGGAAAUAUGCCUUUUAGUUUUUCAGGUUUGAUGGGACAUUCAGAUUGCAAGAAUGACAAAAAUCUGUCUUGCCAAGGAGUCUGAGCCAUGAAAUUUUUGGAAAGCCAAAGUAUUAUAGGGUGACUUGUGUUUUGUCUCUGAAAUUCAGCAAAAAGUUGACUUUUAACUUCUUUACUUUUUUUUUUUUCUUUUUUUUUAAUUGCAGGGGAAAUCCACUGUGGUUUCAUUGAAAUUUAAAGCAUUUUCCUGAUAUGCACUUUCUGAUAGCCAGGGCUGCAUAAGUAUACUUCUUGGCAAAUUAUUUCAAGGUCAUUUUUUUACCAACCUCAUACAGUCACAGCUCUUUUAAAAAUCAUCUUUUCUUCAAUAUGGAUUAUUCCUGCAAUCCUGGGUUUUCUGAGAAGUCUUUGUUGUUAGAAUUAGAGUUCUCAGAGUAUGCAUAUGUUUACAGGAAGUCAUAAUCAUGCUUGACUUUGACAUUCCUCUUCAGCCUUAAGUGCAGAGCAAGUGUUUUGUAUAUAGAACAAAAUAAAAUUGCUAGAAAAACACCAAAGGUUCAGUGUUGCUUUCUGAAGGAUCCUUAUAUUUUUUGCUUGAAAAAUGUCUUAAUUAUUUGAUUGCUUAUGCUUUUGUUUUCUGUAAUGUUUUUGUUACAACUUUUAUAAUCUCUUUUUAAAAACUCCAUAUCUGAAUUUUCACCACCAAAAUCUUUGUGCCAUUUAAAAUGAUACCCUUCAAACCCAAGGGAAAUGGCAGGAGGAAUUUUUGCACUUGGUUUAAGCUAACAAAAGAAGAUCAUUAAAAUUUGAUCACCUUCUUUUUAAAUAAAGAACUGCUGAAAAAGGAAAAGCAAUUGCUCCUGGAAGACCAGAUUUAUUUUUUUUUUAAUUUUAUUUUUUAUAUCAGUUGGUGAUAACUCUCCACUAAAUUACCUAGUAAAGGACCUGAGAAAGAUAAGCUUUUUAAACUCUUCUUAGAAGAAAAUGAGCUCUGUAUGUGUCCACAGAAGUAAACUAGUUCUGUGUUUCAAUGGAUGGUAGUGGUUCUCAAAGUUCAUGUUCUGGGAAAAAAAACAGAACAGGAGGUUCAGGAUGAGGCAGAGGAAGGGCCCAGCCCAAUAGUUUACCUUUAAGAACUAAGGACUGUAUAUAAAUUCUGUUUUCCUCCAUUCACGUACAUUAACCACUUCAGUGAUAGCAAUGUCUUGCAUGAUUUAAGGUGAGAAUUGGUUUACUUCUUGUCUGUGGGCAGGUAUGUGCAUUUUGGUGACCUGUGUGAACUGCAGGCUCACAAUGGUGCAGUUCUGGGAAAUCCUUCUCACACUGCUGAGCAGGUUCAGCAGAUGGCAUUGCUCCUAAAUGAUGACCUUGAGACCAACUUUUGAUGAAAAGUCACAAGUGGGAAAGCAAACUGCAAACAGAUUCUUAUGCUAAGAGAAAGUUUUGUGCAUGAAAUCUUGCAUGGACAAGAGAGAGAACAUGCUUAACCUGAUCCAUUAUAUUUACAAAGCCAUGAAUUUAUUCUUUGCUUAUUUAAAAUAUUAAUAGUGUAAAUAGAAUUUUAAAAAAUAUUCUAAUUGCAGUAGUAUCAACAGCUCAUAUGGAUAUGAGAUAUCAUAGUGUGACAACUUAAUGACUAGAGACAUUCAGGAAAAAAUUUGGCUUGCAUAUCAUCCUCCCCUAGACAGUAUUGUAAUCUUCCCUGAUACUGUAGGAUGUUUUGAAAUAAGAUGUCCUCAUAUUGAUACUGUUGUGCUUUUAUAGAUCACUUGCAAGGCAGUCACACAAACUACUCCUGGAUUCUUCCCCGGUGUUUUUUUUUCUCAAAAGAUGGAAUGUUCCAAAGAAGCCAAAGCAAUAUCUGCUAAAAUAAUGAGAAAACAAGUUAUAUCUGAAGACAUCAUAUGAAGUAGUCUAGAUAAUGAUAAGGUCCAGCAAAACAUGGGUGUGAUACCCUCUGAUUCAUAUCCCUGAUGACCAUCUCCUGCCUGAAGCACAAAUGACUUCUGUGAUGAAUGACUCUCAUCGUGCUGCAUCCACUUGAAUAAUGAUGGUGAACUUGAGACACCUCAGUGCACAAUACUGUCAAGUCAAGAAGUAUAAGUCCACGGAAGAGCUAUUGAAAUAAAUACAGUAGGGACUGUGAUUUAAGAGGACCCUUACUUUUAUGACAGGCAAGGAGCAACUGACAAGAGAUCUGCUGAUGGCCAUCUACUUGUGGCAGCUGUUUAUUAUGAUCUGCUGUAAACAUCUUGCUGCUACCUUGUGCUCGCCCAUCUGUUUGUUUCUGCCCAUCUGUUACUGGUUGCCAUGUGCUUAGGUUGUAAAUAUCACUAUUGCUUGAAAUAAAAAGGUUAAAAAUCCUUUGAUUAAAAAAAAAAAAAAUCAGUUAUUGAAUUCAGUAUUUGCAUUAAGAAAAAAAAAAAGCUCUUACAAGCCUCUGGAGUCAACAUUGAGGAAACUCUGUACAGGUUUUCUAUGCUCCUGGAAAACUUCCUGUGGUUACCCUUUCUGAUGAGGUUGAAGCAUUUAAUUGAGUUGAUUUUUGUUGUAAGAUUUCAAUUUGCUUUUAGUCAAUAACAAGGGCUAGUUCAGGAGGAAAUUUUGUUUUUUGAAGUCAGAGGAUUGUGUGCAAAUGAAAGAGGCAAAUUGCCUGCAGGAAGCCAAUCAACUUGUGCUCUGUAUAUGUCACUUCAGCUUCUGCUGGAGUUUUUUAUUCCCAGACUAGCAAAUUUAUAUUUGGCAUGCACUGUCAUCCUUAUUCUAUAGAUUUCUUCUCAUCAAAUAUUUGUGAUGGCUUUUUUUUUUUUUAUUUUAUUUUUUUUGUCUCUCUAAACUAUUAUAUGUGCUUUUGGCAUUUGAGUCUUUGCCAUUGUUACUUAAUAUGACAACAGUCACAUUUAAUUUCUUUUGGAAUGUUUUAAGAAAUGUUUUUUCUAUGUAUUUUUUUUUUAAAUAAAAUCUGUAUUUAGUAACUACUUCUCUCUCAAAACAUAACUAUCAUGCUAGAUACUUCAGCAUUAUUCACCAUUUUAUGCCAGUCCAUUGCAGUGGUCAUUUCUGAGACAUGCAUUGC